rnacentral:rRNA from 1 species
UACGGAGGGUGCAAGCGUUAAUCGGAAUUACUGGGCGUAAAGCGCACGUAGGUGGUUUGUUAAGUCUUCUGUGAAAGCCCUGGGCUUAACCUGGGAACGGCAGGAGAAACUGGUAAGCUAGAGUGUCGGAGAGGGUAGUGGAAUUUCCGGUGUAGCAGUGAAAUGCGUAGAGAUCGGAAGGAACACCAGUGGCGAAGGCGGCUACCUGGACGAACACUGACACUGAGGAGCGAAAGCGUGGGGAGCAAACAGG